rnacentral:rRNA from 1 species
UACGAAGGGGGCUAGCGUUGUUCGGAAUCACUGGGCGUAAAGGGCGCGUAGGCGGCUUUAUAAGUCGGGGGUGAAAGCCUGUGGCUCAACCACAGAAUUGCCUUCGAUACUGUAGAGCUUGAGACCGGAAGAGGUAAGUGGAACUGCGAGUGUAGAGGUGAAAUUCGUAGAUAUUCGCAAGAACACCAGUGGCGAAGGCGGCUUACUGGUCCGGUUCUGACGCUGAGUGAGCGAAAGCCAGGGGAGCAAAGCGGG